rnacentral:lncRNA from 1 species
UGGCCUUCAUCUUUCUCCCAUGCUGGAUGCUUCCUACCCUCAAACACUGGACUCCAAGUUCUUCAGCUUUUGGACUCUUAGACUUACACCAGUGGUUUGCCAGGGGCUCUAAGGCCUUUGGCCACAUACUGAAGGCUGCACUGCAGGCUUCCCUGCUUUUGAGGUUUUGGGACUCGGACUGGCUUCCUUGCUCCUCAGCUUGCAGAUGGCCUACUGUGGGACUUCACCUUGUGAUCAUACUCCUUUAAGGAUCUUUCCAAAGGUCUUCAAUUUUGAUAUAAGCAACAAAGAAUAAGAGUACUCAUGAUGUGUGACAAAUGGCAUGCCUCCUGCAAGAGUUAUGAGUUAUGUGCCUAAACAGGAAGGAUCAUCUCAUUGCAGAAUUAGGGCAUCAUCCAGUGGGAAGGGAGUUUCAAGGUCAUUUAGUCCAGCCUCCGAGUGAUACAGAAAUUCUCUUUGCAGCAUCCCUAUCACGUGGCCAUCAAACUUCUACUAGUGUAUUCAUCCACACCUGGUCUGUCUAAAACCUUGAGAACAGCCCCUUGUAUAGUUCAAUAGCCCCAGCUGAAGGAAAAGUUUUUGUUAUUUUCAGUAAACAUAUUCUGUUGUGUAACUUUGGUUGAUCGGUUCCCCUUUAGCGACCCAGAAAACACUGAGCUCCCUCUGACACCCAUGCCCUUUGACUGAAAGUCAGCCAUAAAAUAGAGCACCAGAGUAACUUUCCAGAGUCCCAGAUUUGCCCCUUCGCUCCACUGCAAAUCAAAUGUGUGACCUGUGUUUCAAUUCAAUUAGCCUUUUCCUAAGGGUUUCACUGUUUCUGUUCCUGUGAGUUUCUUUUUUAAAGAUCUGUAUUUGUAUAUUUCAAGUGGAAUUUUUUUUUUUUUUAGCAAACCACAACAUUUUAUUUUAAAUUGAGAGAUAUGGUUUGAUUUUUAUUUUUAUUGUGGAAAAUUUCAAACAUACAAGAGUAGAUAUAAUAUAGUAAUGAAUGCCUUAGUAUUUGUCACCCAGGUGUAAAUAUAUCAAAUUGUGGUCAGUCUUUUUUUUUUUGAGACGGAGUCUCGCUCUGUUGCCCAGGCUGGAGUGCUGGAGUGCAGUGGCGCCAUCUCGGCUCACUGCAAGCUCCGCCACCUGGGUUCACGCCAUUCUCCUGCCUCAGCCUCCCGAGUAGCUGGGACUACAGGCGCCCGCCACUACGCCUGGCUAAUUUUUUCUAUUUUUCAGUAGAGACGGGGUUUCACGGUGUUAGCCAGGAUGGUCUCGAUCUCCGGACCUCGUGAUCCGGCCGCCUUGGCCUCCCAGAGUGCUGGGAUUACAGGCGUGAGCCACUGCAGCCGGCCAGUCAAUCUUAUUUCGUCAUUACCCUCACCCCUGCUUUCUCCUCCCUGGAUUGUUUUGAAGCAAAUCCCACAUACCAUACAAUGUCAGCCGUACCUUCUCAUAUGAACCUGGGAGCAAAUUCUCCAAAUGACAAAAUCAAUGGAAGACAUUUGGGGGGCCUUGCCCUUAUAGUGGGUGCUGGAGUUACAAAGGUGAAUACAAUUGUGCCACGUUUCGGUCUUUUUGGAAAACACUACCCCUCAUGUGUCUGUAAAAAUUGACUCUUCUUUUUGUGCUAACACUUCCUUUUUUGGCCAAAAUCUUUCUAAAAAUAGACAGCAAGCCCCCUCCUGCUGCCUGUUUCUUAAACUUUCCUCUCAUGAAGGUGAGCUAGGAUUGUACAAUUACAAUGCUUUGAGAAUUUUGUUCCUUUUGAGCUGUCUUUACUUUUCAAAGCCUCUAGUCAUGCUAUUGGACCUAUCUUUUCCUCUAAUAAUUAAAAAAGUCUCUAUAUUGUGUUAUUCUCUGUCUUUUCAUCCCAGUUUACUAUGAUUAACGUGGUUACCAUCUCCCCAGGUUCUUCCCGUUCAUUUACCUUCACCAUUUCAUUUCACCUUGCAUUUCUUCCCAGUUGCUCAGACUUCACUUCACAGUAGUAAUUUUCUUUUUCUUUUUUUGUACCUUCUGAAAGGGCAGUCUAAUGACAAAGUCAGUCGAUAAUUGCUCAGAAGAUCUGUAUUCACCAGAAAGAGUCUUUCUGCUGAUAUUCAGAAGAUCAAAUUUUAAGCUCAGCAUGAACCAAGAUCCAGUUACACUGCACACACACAAACGGAAAAACCACCAUAGUAUGUAUGAGGGAAAGAUCAGACCAUACAAUCAUUAUGUGAUAAUGUAUUAAUAAUAGAUGGUAUAAUGAACCAAAAAUUAGCUUGGCAACACUCCCAGGUACUUUUCAUAAAAUAAUUUCCAUAACCUGCUUUGCCUAUGAAGAAGGGAACACAUUAUCCCACAAUUACUUGGGGGUGGAAUGAUUAGCGUGGGUCCAGGACGCGGCCCGGGGACUCUGUGGUUGGCCUUACACCUUUCCAGACAACGUCCUUGGCCUCUCCCCUACUACAGCAUGUGUAGCUGUGUGUGGGAUGGAGGCUAAAAGCCUGGUUAUGCUCCACAGAAUGAAUUCUUAUGUCCCUGAGCUCUUCUCAGAAAACAUGCAGGGAGUCUCUGCCAGCUGCAGAAGUUCAGCUCCUAGGAAGAGGGGAUGAAUUUCUGUGUUUUAUUUCAAUGGUGUAGCAUGAGUGUGCAGAGCCAACAGUAUGAUAACUGGUGGUCCUCACGUAUGUCU